rnacentral:sRNA from 1 species
UUAAAUAACAACCUCGACCAAUUAGUAGAGAAAAACGAACGAUACUUUUAUUGAUUUUCUUUUGCCGUCUUAGAUUUAUUAUUGAUUGUAAAUUAUGAGAACUGUUAAAUAUACGAUUUUAUAACAGAUAGGUUUUUCUGACCCUUAUUAGAUCCACGAUAGACGACACCUCUUUCUUCAUGUUCAUGAUAGACAUCUUCAAUGAUCUUCUCUGCAUAGAUUCUUUGCGAACGAGUAUAAUUGUACAUCGUUGAAAAUUUCCUGCAAACUUGCCUCUAUUAAUCUACAAAUCUGCUAAUAAAUCACAACAUUUGGGACUCGAACACCAGACCUCUUGAUGUAGAAAAUUAAUGAAUCCUUACUCAACCAAUGAGCCUAGAUUUUGAAUGAAUAUUGGAUUAUUAAUGUUAAUUUU